rnacentral:lncRNA from 1 species
AAAUUAUACAAUGCCCGAAUGGCGGCUUAUUUCAGAGCGGGGCUUACGGAAGCCACGGCACUGGUCGAUUUCAUGGUCCUGAUGAUUGCGAAUUCGAAAUGGGAAGAGUCCCAUCGGGUCUGGGGAGUUUUUUGUGCAUCUCUAAAUUCGAACUAAAAUAAUUCUGUGCAUUCUGGGAUGUAUCUUCGUUGUGUCUCCGAUUCAUAAAGAUACCUUUAGGACCUGGAUCAAUGG